CCCAGGAAUAAGAAAGCAACUGAAACAGUGUUUGGGACCAAUUCAAACCACAAAGGGAGGUACCACGCUGAUUGCCAGCUGGACGAGCGUGAGAAGAAAGCUUUGCUAAGACUCUCAGAAGAUUCACACUAUAUCCAUUUCCAGCGCUCCUCUCAGAUUCCCCAGGCAAAUGCCAAUCAAAGCUUCCUUUGUUGGUGAUAUGUACAUUCCUCCAUGAGCUAUAAAGGAUGUCUCAGCCAAGCUUCCUCACCACUGAGUCACCGACCAGGAUUGUUU